CCUACGGGUGGCAGCAGUGGGGAAUAUUGGACAAUGGGCGAAAGCCUGAUCCAGCCAUGCCGCGUGUGUGAAGAAGGCCUUCGGGUUGUAAAGCACUUUCAGUGGGGAAGAAAGCCUUGGGGCUAAUACCCUCGAGGAAGGACAUCACCCACAGAAGAAGCACCGGCUAACUCCGUGCCAACAGCCGCGGUAAUACGGAGGGUGCGAGCGUUAAUCGGAAUUACUGGGCGUAAAGCGCGCGUAGGCGGUCUGAUAAGCCGGUUGUGAAAGCCCCGGGCUCAACCUGGGAACGGCAUCCGGAACGGUCAGGCUAGAGUGCAGGAGAGGAAGGUAGAAUUCCCGGUGUAGCGGUGAAAUGCGUAGAGAUCGGGAGGAAUACCAGUGGCGAAGGCGGCCUUCUGGUCUGACACUGACGCUGAGGUGCGAAAGCGUGGGUAGCAAACAGGAUUAGAUACCCCAGUAGUC
rnacentral:rRNA from 1 species